rfam:Candidatus Sungbacteria bacterium RIFCSPLOWO2_01_FTLL_60_25 rifcsplowo2_01_scaffold_16065, whole genome shotgun sequence.
GGCCCCAUCGUCUAGCGGUUAGGACACCACGCUUUCAAUGUGGGAAGCCGGGUUCGAUUCCCGGUGGGGCCG